AUUGAACGCUGGCGGCAGGCUUAACACAUGCAAGUCGAGCGGAAACGAUGAUAGCUUGCUAUCAGGCGUCGAGCGGCGGACGGGUGAGUAAUACUUAGGAAUCUACCUAGUAGUGGGGGGUAGCUCGGGGAAACUCGAAUUAAUACCGCAUACGACCUACGGGAGAAAGGGGGCAACUUGUUGCUCUCGCUAUUAGAUGAGCCUAAGUCGGAUUAGCUAGAUGGUGGGGUAAAGGCCUACCAUGGCGACGAUCUGUAGCUGGUCUGAGAGGAUGGACGGCCACAAGGGGACUGAGAUACGGCCCUU
rnacentral:rRNA from 1 species